AAGUAAAAUGAAAAAUUUUCACCUUUGUUUUGCUUAGAAAAUUAAUAUACUAUUUGGAGAAUGUGCUCUGACCGUUUCAAAUAAAAAUUCGAAGUCAAAGUGUACCUAAAACGUCGUUAAAGUGACGCGCUCCGAAUGGUGCGGAGCACAGGUAUCCUGUUCCGCUAGGGAUGCAAAGUUUAUCGAUAUUUAUCUAUACUGUCGACAAGCCCAACUAUCGAUAGUUGUCGACAAGAAGAAAGAGGAAAAGCCUCUAUCGAUAUCAAUAAGUCCUGGUCUACAAUAGCUAAUUUAAGCUUUUAGCUUUAAGGAAUUGACCAACCACAAUCGACUAUUCUCUACAUCUGCGUUUGUAAUUGGUUAAUUUCUUAAGGCUUAAAGCUUCAAUCAUUUAUUGUAGACCGGGAUUAAUUGUCGAAGGUUUAUAAAAAAACUUUGAAGAAUAUCGAAAGUUCUGAAGUUCUGAACAGUCUACGUUAAAUGAGGAAAGUCCAAAAAUUGUGCUGUAAGAUCCUCCUGCGAAUUUGCAAAUACGUGCCAAAGUUUGUUAUUUGUUACUUGUAUUGUUAACAAGUGGGGUUAGCAAGUGAGGUUAUUUUAAUGUUUAUUGUCAUAUUAUACGAUAUGGAUUGGGAAGAGAAAAAUGAAUCAAUAGUUGAAGAUCCCCAACCCCAAAAAGGAAGAAACAACCAACUUUACAAAGCUUUCUUGUAUCAAAACCAACAAGUUCUAUUCAAUCAUCUUCUGCUCAGUCUGCAUGUCAAACUUCGAAUGUAAAAACAAGGAUAAAAAAAUCAGAAGUAUGGGAGUUUUUUAAAAAGGAUCCUAACGAUAAGAAAUUAUUUAUAUGCAUGAUAUGUAAUACUGAAAUCUAUAGCAGUGGUAAUACAAGCAAUAUUGGGAUCAUCUACAUUGUUAUCAUGCCUCUAAAUUAAAAAAAUCUAUUGAACGUGAAGAGGAAUGGAGCCCUUCACAGUCUACCCCCAGUGGGAGUGAACCUGAAGGAAUUGGAACAGAAACUGAGAAUCAAUGUGUUAAUACUCAGAAAAAUUUAUAUCGAAAACGUUUUAAAUAUCAGCCUUCAUUAAAGAAGUUUAUAAAAAAAUAAAGACUGUGUUAUGGUGCUAAUAGCAAACAAAAAAUGAUAUUGGAUAAAGCACUAGUGAAAUUUAUUACUAGAGAUCUUCAGCCUUUAAGCAUAGUAAAUGAUAUUAGAUUUCAAGAAUUUGUAAAUGAAUUGAAUCCACGUUAUAGUUUGCCAAGUCGACCUACAGUCACUAAUGUUUUAAUUGCAAAAAUGUAUGAAGAGACGAAAAAGAAAAUUAUAACUAUCUUAAAUACUGUCAAUACUAACUUUUGAUGGUUAGACUAGUGUUGCCAGAGAAUCUUAUCUGACGGUUACAGGUCAUUUUAUUUUCGAUUCUAAACUACAAGCAGCGUUAUUGAAUUUUAUUCACGUCAGUGAUGAAUCAUCAACAGCUGAAAAUCUCAAAUCUUUAAUUCAAUGAAAAGUAGUAGAAAUAUAUCCAAAUGUGUAAUUAGUAUGAGCUGUGACUGACAAUGCUGCAAAUAUGAUAGCAACUUGUGAGAUAUUAAAGGUCAAGCAUGUUCCCUGCGGAGCCCAUUCUAUACAGUUAGAUGUAAAUCAUGCCAUAUUAAAAACUAAGCCAUCAUCGUUAACUACAAGUAGAGAUACUGAUGUGAUAACAUUAUUUGAGAGUGAUGAGUCUGAAAAUUUAUCUUCUCACAAUGAAGUUUCAGUUUACAUCAUUCUUAAGAAAUGUAAGCGUAUAACUACUUUUUUUCAUUCAAGUCCUAAGAAAUCAGCUGAAUUAAAAAAGGAACUUAAUCUACGUCAAAUGGAAGUUACAACUUUAGUACAAUCAGUUUAUACUCGUUGGAAUUCAUCUUAUGAGAUGUUACGGCAUAUACAUAAAACUUUAGAUUGUAAUAAUAUUAUUUUAUUAAUCAAAAAAUAAUAUUCCUCUAUUGAACAAUGAAGAAAGAAACUGUAUCCCAGAUAUUUUAGCUUGUUUGAAAAUAUUUGCUGUUAUGAUUGAAAAACCAAGUGGCGAAUCAUAUGCUACAAUUUCUCUUUUAAUUCCAUGUACAAAACAAAUACUCAUUGAAUUAAAAAAUUUGGAAUCAACUAUAAAAACAAAAGCGGCGGUUUAGUAUGGUGACA